rnacentral:misc_RNA from 1 species
UACAAAUGGCGUCGACCAGUAGUGGGGAGGAAGUCGGUAGUGUCGGACCGGCUGCGCAAGAGCAGCCUGCAAGACGGAUUUUCCAAUAAUGAACAGCCCGUGGUAACUGUCAGUUCGCUCGUGGUGCAUUCGUUGACUCUUGCUGCGCACAGUGUGUCCCGGCGUGUGUUAAAAUGUGCUGUACGAUUAAUUGAAUAUACUCUCCACCGAACGCGGAUUACUCGAAGAACACCGGGAAUCCUGCUGUAAGACAGGUGACGGUUCGAUAAACACGCGAUGGAGAGAAGAAAGUGAUGCCGAAGAUCGAAACGGAAGCUUCCGUCUUUCGAAUAAUUCGUGUUCACCAUCGGAGAUGGAGACUUUCCUCGGGGCACGUAUCAGUAUAGAAGGCGCCUAGGAUAUCAGGAUCGAAAGGGGAACAUCGAGCACCGGGGUCCAAGAUGGGCAAGUGUUGCAGCAAACGGCAAGAGCCGCAACCCCUUGGUUACAAGAAAGCAGACACAGGACUAAGCUCGAAACACAGCAAUGGAGGUUCCUUGGACCGGUACACUGCUGACCCGAAUCAAAGGGGUGUGCAAGCGAGGGCGGAUAUUAUUCGACCGAGGCCAACACCUUGUAAGCUACAGAUUCCGCAUCAACCUCGUAAAACAAGCUCGCCUGUCGUUAAGCCUGCAUCGCAUUCGCAGAGAUCGAACAAGAUCGUGGUAGCUCUGUACAAUUACACCGCCCGGGAGAGUACCGAUGUCAGUUUCGUGAAGGGCGAUCGAAUGGAAGUAUUGGAUGACUCGGAGCCUGAUUGGUGGAAAGUUUUACACUUGACAACUCUGCAAGAAGGUCUUAUACCUUGGAACUUCGUCGCCGUUGAACGUUCGGUGGAGAGCGAAGAUUGGUUCUUCGAGAACGUGUCUCGCAAAGAGGCGGGUAAACUGCUGUUGGUGGACGAGAAUCCACGUGGAACGUUUCUGGUGAGACCCAGCGAGCAUAAUCCCAGGGGAUACAGUUUGUCCGUGAAGGACUGGGAGGAGGGAAGGGGUCAUCACGUAAAACACUAUAAAAUUAAACCGCUCGACAAUGGGGGCUUCUUUAUCGCCACCAACCAGACAUUCCCCACCCUGCCAGCCCUUGUUAUGGCUUAUAGCAAGAACGCGUUGGGUCUCUGUCACGUGUUAUCGAAGCCGUGUCCAAAACCGCAACCGGACAUGUGGGAUCUCGGGCCCGAGUUGCGGGACAAAUGGGAGAUCAACAGGAACGAGAUACAACUGAUACGGAAAUUGGGCCACGGUAAUUUCGGCGAGGUGUAUUACGGCAAAUGGAGGAACAAGAUCGAAGUAGCGGUGAAGACGCUGCGACCCGGGACCAUGUCGACCGAGGCGUUCCUUCAGGAAGCCGCCAUCAUGAAACAGUUCCGACAUAGACACCUAGUCGCGUUGUACGCGAUCUGCUCGAAAGAGGAGCCGAUCUACAUCGUACAGGAGUACAUGUGCAACGGUAGCCUGUUAGACUUCCUGAGAACCGGCGAUGGCAAGUACAUGCAGUUCGAGGACCUCAUCUACAUAGCCGCGCAGGUCGCCUCCGGCAUGGAACACCUCGAGAGCAAACAGCUCAUACACAGAGAUCUCGCGGCGAGGAACGUGCUUAUCGGCGAGAAAAAUAAAGCGAAGAUAUGUGAUUUCGGAUUGGCGAGGGCGAUCGAGAACGACGAGUACUGUCCGAAACAGGGAAGCAGAUUCCCGGUUAGGUGGACGGCGCCGGAGGCCAUUGUCUAUGGGAGAUUCAGCAUCAAGAGCGACGUCUGGUCCUAUGGCAUCUUACUGAUGGAGCUCUUCACUUAUGGCCAAGUUCCUUAUCCUGGUAUGCAGAGUCGCGAAGUAAUCGAGCAGAUAAACAAAGGCUAUCGGAUGCCUAAGCCAUUGAAUCACCCGCUGCCGGACAGCAUUUACCGAUUAAUGUUGCAGUGCUGGGAUGCUAGCCCCGAGAAGCGACCCACGUUCGAGUUCCUUAAUCACUAUUUCGAGUCAUUUAAUGUCACUAGCGAAAUACCGUAUCUCGAACCGCCAACAGACUGAUACACAGCUCACAUGCAGAGUCAGUACCUGGUACCGCACGGUCAUUUUCACCCAGCGCACAUUAACUGUGCCAUGGAAUUUUAUGAAUUUCUGCGGGAAGAUUCCAAAAAAGAAUAAAAUAAGAAGGAAACGAGAGAGGAUCGUACAGGAAGGAAGAUAUUUUACAAAGAAACUUUGGUGACGAGAAUUUAUAUAAACGUUACCGGACGUCUCGAAACAAUCGUUAAAUACUGCCAAAAUUGAAGAAGUGUUCUUUUCAUUUCUUUUUCUUGAUCGAACGUCAUCGAGCAAGCAUUUCAAGGACAAUGAUCUUGUGUGCCAUGGAACUUUAUAGAACAAAAAAGAAACGAGUAUUGUUUGUACUUUGAAAAGUAUUUGCAAGACUAAUAAUCUUUGUGACCAAUCGUGAAUAACUGCCGAUUAAAAUAUCAAGUCAAACGUUUACGACUGAAGAUAAAAUGAAAAUAAAAAAUGAAGAGUAUAGAAUAUCUCUGACCGCUAACGUAUCCAGUAUCUAUUAUAGAAUUUAAAAAAUGGGAUCGUUCAUCGUUCGAACUAUUUAAUAGGAAUUUUCAUAAUUUGGAGAGUAUAUUAAAAAUAAUUGACGAAGGUAUCUAAGAAAAAGUGUUUAGAGAAUAGGAACGGAACCAGUUGAGAGCUAAAAAAAAUGUAGAGUUUUAAAUGGUAGACGAUGUAACCAAUUAUAUUAGUCCGUCAAUGUACGAUUACAGUGCAGAAAGGGAAACGAUCGCGCCAUCUGUGUAAUUUGCGCGAUCACUUCUCGUAUUGAUCUCGAAACGAUCGUGACUGAUCUUUCCUAUGAUCCAAAUUGUUUUCUUUUUUACACGGUCCUUGAAAAUCUAGAUGCAUCGUUUCAGCGUCGAAUGAUUUUUAUCAUACAAUACAGUCUCGCUUCUAAAUUCGACGAUUUUCGAAACUUUUCAAUUUAGAAGUUUAUAAAUUUCUAACUUGUUCAAUUUGUACACUUGAAAAUUUUUAAAGACAUGGCGAGACUGCAUUGUAUUAGGACAUCACAUUCUACGAUAAAAUAGAUCUAAACGAGUUUUCGUUUGAUUUCGAACGAUAUGUCGAGUAGGACAAUAUUUUAUACGAGAGAUUAAUACGUUUUUAUACGUAAAAGAAAGAGUACCUUUCAGGUAUAAUUUUGUUCUAUGAACAGUGUAUUUUAAACCUUUCAACAAUCUACAAUCGCCCAAGCACGCGAAUCACCUUUUCAUGACAGGUGCCCGGUCGUAGUAGUAAAAGGGUUUAAAAGCGCACAUUCAUGUUUUUCUAUACACGUCUCGUUAUUUUUUACUGUGAUUGCACUUUGUAAAGAAAACUACCUGUUCGACGCUGCGUCGGUAAUAUAGUUACGUAUUAAGCAAUCUCAUCGUUACGAUAAUCAUUUUUUUAAGUUCACCGAAGUGAAAAUAAAAAAAAAAGCAAGUUACUAGUAACGAAAAAAAAAAUACGUUAUACGAUUGAGAACCGCGACAUUUUCCGAAGUUGCGCGAAUAAGAGAAAAAUGAAGAACUUAGAAAUACUAUUAAAAUUGAGGUAAAGAUUAAGUCAUCGAUGUUGCUCGUACAAAGUGUCUGAGAAAUUGUAAAUUUUCUACUAAACAUACAAAAAUAUAAAACGACAGGUUAGGGUAGAUUCUAGGCGGUAGAACGUGAGGGUAGGUGUGUAAAGCGUCCUCGGAAUGUGAAACACCGAAACGCGAAUCUUUCCUUUUCGUAAACGACAUACAUUGGCGAGCAUGUCGGGCUUCCCUAGGAACAGUUAUGUAGAAGAAAGAGCCUCUUGCUAAUUUUCAAGGUUUUGAGAACUUCAUUGGUUAAUUUAAAAAAUUGAGGAUUUAAGAGUUUAGAAAUUUGAAAGUCGGAUGAGAAGGGGCUCUUGUUUCUAUAAUUAUCCUUGUCCGAAGGAAGCCUCCAUUGCACCCGAGUGUACACAAGAAUAAAACGGGGUUAUGAGGUUUCGAUUCCGAGGAUUUCUCGUUGUCGUCGUCGUGGUCGUCCUCCACGGAACGUAUCGUUAGACGUUAAGUCCCUAGGUGUACACUGAACUAUGUCACGAUAAACACGAUGAGCCAUUAUGACACUUUAGAUAUUAAACGUUUAAGGAAAAGUAACGAGAGAUAGAGAAUAUAAAGAGCGAAAGAGAACGACAGGAUGUAACUACGAAGAAUGAAUGAAACGAGAGAUUUGCGUGCGCGUGCGAAUUGUUACACAACUGUGUCUGUGCGGUAUUAUUUCGUUUUUCUCUUUUUUUUCACGUGCGUCUUGCCGUGACAUUCAAAAACGAGCAAUAAAAUGUCGUGUUCUUCGUAUGACCCGUAACUAGUGAUGGAUACACUUACAAAUUUUGAAUUUUAUUCGAAUCCUAAUGGAAUCUCAUAUAAAAAACUUCUUUCAAAUGCUUUUCAACCUGGUAGUGGUUUGAUGACUUCAAAAAAUUGAGGACGUAUAAAUUUAUAUUUAAUUAGUAAUUAAAAAUAUUUAGGGUUCGAAUAAUAUUCAAGGUAAACUUCGUAUAAUUACGAAGCGGUUCGAACUCAAUAAAAAGGAAAGCGACAUAAGCUCAAUAAUCAUCGUUUUCAGGGAACUACGAUUACGAAACGAACAAUAUAGUGUGAGCAUACGAGAGUGAUUGGAAAAGUUUCGAAAACAUUGGUGUGUAACUCUUUAAAUCAAGUUCGUAUGGUUAUACCUUACUGCUAGCUAACAAUCAUUCCGACAGUCAUCGAUUUUAGUGGAAUAAUUUACGGCUUACGUAUGUCCCGGGACACCGACAUUAUAUUGCCCCUUUAUACAUAUACAUAGUAUACUGAUAAUAUAAUGUUUUCUACUAUAAUUAGCGAAGCAAACACCAUACGUUCGUUGUGUGAGUUGAUUAAUUUAUUAUUAAUAAUAGAACGAUGAUGCGACGAGUGGAAGGAAAGGCAUCAUGUUUACGUAGAGAUUUAGAAGGUAGCUGUAUUACGUCCAAGUAAACUUUUCUAUGAGCGUUUUAUACCGAUCAAAACGACGUUGUUGCGUUUAUUCACGGAGAAUGGUCACUUUUUAAAGGUUUCGCUAGCGAUCAUGUUGUCGCCAUAGUUUCGUAGAAGACACGUAAAAGAUCAUGCAUGAAUUCGAUUUGUCAAAUGUACCAAAUGAAUGGAAACAAUGUACGGUUUGAUUUCUUCAUGUUUGAAUGUCACUGUUCGCAUACAUCAUUUCAUCCGAGAAAGAGGAAAGAGAGUAGUAUAUUUAAAUGUUAAUAUACUGGUAAAGGGCAUCAUGUGGCCUUUCCACUGGACUUAGAGACUGAUAUUGUUUAGACGAACAGAACAGAUUACAUUCGAAUAUAACUGUGUUCGACGAAAUUAAUUAUAUGGGUAUCGAACGAGGUAAGUAAUUGGAACAAUUUCGAUAAAUUUCAAAAAUUAGUGCUUGCAUCCUGCAUCUCUCCCCAAGAAAUUCGAAUUAGCAAUUUUUCACUGUAUUUUUUGUUUUUACAAAAGUACUUAUUUUUUUAAAUUAUUUUGUCACGAAAAUGGUUCCAGUUACGUGCCUUAUUUGAUACGUAACAAAAAUUAGGAAUUUUCUUAUCAAAUUAGAACAAGAUUCGGCAGUUAGUUUGGAACUAAGCAAUUUUAUACGUGGUUCAAUUACAGUAAUCUCGUUAUAUUGCUAUGGAACGGACAAUUCUUGGAAUUGGCAAUAUAUUGAGUUGAUCAAAAGCUUUGUUACGGCGACCUUCGAAUCGUCCUACGAUGGCGGGAAACUUGCUCAGUCGGCAAUAUAGAGCGUGGCAAUACAACGCGUGGAGAGUAUAACGCAUAUAUUCAACGUGUGGAGAAUAAAGACGUAUAGCGAAUUCCAAUGCGUAGAGAAGACGUGUAGAGAAUUCAACGCAUGGUUAUACAACACAUAACGGUAUAACGCGUGUUAUAAGAUGGCGAUAUAAUAGAGCAACGGUCCUUGCCUUGUCCAAUGAUGUGCGUGAAAGUCCGUAUAAAAGUGGUAAUAUAACGAGAGUUUAUUGUAUUAUUCCAGAAAUUCCGAAAAACUUUUUCUACAAAAUAAGAGUAAAAUUUGGCGCAUUUCGCAAUGCGUUCGAAAUCGAAUUCUGGUCGGGAGACGCUGCGUGUUUCGAAUUGAUUAAUCGCGUGUACAAGGUGUUCAUAAGUGUUCCAAUUUUGAAAGAAACUGAUAACGAAUGCAAUAAUACUAUCGUUCGUCGUACGUCCUGUUGUCCAAAGCAAAGCAUUACUUAAUGUGUGCUGGCUGAUUUACCCGACAAUAUAAAGCUAUUGACUUUUUCCGUUAAUAUUUCACGAUCGUGCUAUUUAACAAUUAUAUAGCAGUACGUUAAAAUUAAAUUAAACGUGUGCCGUCAUAGUUAUCGAUCGAAUAGUACUUUGUAACUUGGACUCUAUUUUUACUACUCUUGCCAACCAACUGUUUUUGCAACUUUAAUUGAUUUCAUCAUUCAUGAAGUCGCGUAACACUUUCAGCACGUCUUGCAUUUGUUGUCGUUGAUAUUUUCCAUUUCUCAUAUUUACAAUGUAACACCGCAUUAUAGUACUCGAUGGUCGAUUUUCUAGAAAAUUGAUUUCUCGUGUUUUUAAUACCGCGUCUCUCGGCUUGGACACAAGUUUCGAGUAUGACAUAGACGAUUUGUUUCUGUACGAUUGAUAACGACACAUGUCCAAUUGUAAAAAGAAAACAAAAAGGAAAGCUUCGUUUCUUCAUCUUGAAAUUCGUUUCGUUGUGGCUCCGUUCAAAUAAAAUUUUAAUAAAUCUGUGAUAUAGCGACAGACCUCAUGUUUUGAUACAGAGUUUGAGUAUUGCGCGGGGCUACUACGAAAAAUCAUCGUAUCCAGAAAAAUUUAAGUGCUGAAAAUGAAAUCAGAGUCGUCACGUGAUGCGCACACCAAAUAGAUGGAUAUUUUUUAACGCAUUUAGGCUUUCGUCGAGGUUUUUCACAGUACACCGCGCGUCAACAUGGUUCACUCGUACCUAAAGUUAAACAAAAAGAGACAAAAGAAAUGGAUCAAUAUAUCGUCAUUGUUUACGUACCAAAGCUUAUUAUCAUUAAGUAAUUUAACGGUUACUUUGUAUCAUUGUAUUAAGUAUCAUAAGCCUAUGCAGAUAAAUAUAUUAUGUAUCAUAUUAACAGAACAGUGUCAAACGAUAUUUGCAUGAUUCACUUCACGUAAUGCAUAGUAGAAUUUGGUAAUUUCAAUAACACAACAGUAUAUUAAGUCCAAGAAAUUUAUUCUAGUACCAAUAUUUUCAUCUCGCAAUACAAAAAUUUUAUAAAGAAACGUAUUUCUUUUUCAUUCAAAACUAAACGAUAUCGAAC